AUAUUUUUAUAUAUAAAAAAAACCAAAAAAGGAAAAAACUGACAAUUUGGGUCGGAUAGUUGAGCACUCGUAGAACCCUAGUGAAUGCUUAUGAGGAAUCAACGUACUUCUCCAGCUUCAACCUCCGAACUAGGUUACAAAUGCUACAGGGACACGAGAAGGAGCUGAGCUUCAAAGUUUUCUCGUUCUAGCGAUCUUCAAUUUUUUCCAAGUAUUGUGCUUGAAGAUUUUGGAUUGCUUGUUUAUGUGGUGUAUGUUCUCUGGGAGAAGGUUAGAGAAACCUGAAGAGUUGUGACGAAAUAAUCUGUCUUCAUUUAAAGUUCAAUUGGCCAUUGAAGAAAGUAAGGGCUUCUCCUUCAUGGGAAACUAGCUAUGGUUCUGCUCACUUGCAUCUGAUUGGGAGGGAUUUUCUGAUUAGGGGAACAGAUGUUCUAAGACAUGCAAUUUUUCUGAAAUCUGUUUCUAGAUGAGGCACAUGAUUAUCCCACAGAAAUCUGUUGUUGAAGUUCCUUGUUGGCAUGGAUUGCAUGCUUGUUCCAACCGAAAGUAUCUUAGCUCUAGUAUUGGCUGUCAUUCUUUGAUGAAAACAUCAGUGCUUCACUAUAAUUGUUCAAUUAAGGGUAAGUGUGGAACCCCAUGCAGUUUAAAAUGGAGGCAAGGGGCUGCUUUAGGACAAACUGCUGUUUCUCGACGGAGUAUAUGUGAACAGAGAAAUGCUUGCAUUGACAAGGUUGAUCAAAAUGACCAAGAUGAUAGGAGAUUUGGAAGACACAUGAUGAAUGUUGAGAAAAAUCUUGGGGAACAUAUGAACUUGAGGAAAGAUUCAAAUGCUUUGCAACUGCAUCUAGAUGGACCCUUAGUUGAAAAUGAUGAGGAAACUAAUAAUAAAAUCCUGCAGAAUUUCUGCAGCUUUGGGAACUUAACAGAGGCGUCAAAGCUUAUAGAUAUUAUGGCUCGUCGAAACCAAAUUCCUCACUUCCCUUCUUGUAUAAACUUAAUUAGAGGCCUUGUUAACGUUGAUCAGAUAGAUAAAGCUUCCAAAGCCCUAAAUAUCAUGGUCAUGUCUGGUGGUGUUCCAGAUGUUAUCACAUACAACAUGAUGAUUGGUGGUCUAUGUAAGACAGGACAGUUAAAAUCUGCCCUUGAUCUGUUAGAGGACAUUUCCUUGAGUGGUUGCUCUCCUGAUGUGAUUACUUUUAAUACGAUCCUUCGCUGCAUGUUUGAUCAUAGUAGAUUUGAUCAGGCCAUUGGAUUUUGGAAGGAGCAACUAAGAAAGGGAUACCCUCCUUAUUUUAUCACUUACACAGUUCUCAUUGAGCUAGUCUGCAAGCAUUGUGGGAUUGAACAGGCCAUGGAGGUAUUGGAAGAUGUGGCAGUUGAGGGCUGUUACCCUGACAUUGUUACCUACAAUUUGCUGGUAAAUUCUACUUGUAAACAGUCAAAAUAUGGACUCACAGCUUUGGUGAUACAUAAUCUUCUCUCAUGUGGAAUGGAGCCCAAUGCCGUAACUUACAACACUAUUCUCCAUUCUCUUUGUAGUCAUGGGUAUUGGGAUGAAGUUGAAGAGAUCCUCUCAAUCAUGAAUGAAACUUCUCAUCCUCCCACCGUUGUUACUUAUAAUAUCUUGAUCAAUGGUUUGUGUAAGCAUGGGCUUUUGGAUCGUGCUAUCAACUUCUUUGAUCAAAUGGUUUCCCGAAAUUGUUCACCUGACAUUAUCACAUAUAACACCCUGCUAGGUGCUCUUUGUAAAGUGGGAAUGAUAGACGAGGCAGUGGAAAUACUUCAUUGUUUAGAUGAUACCAUCUGUUCUCCUGGCUUGAUUACUUAUAAUAUAGUGAUUAAUGGCUUGGCUCAAUUGGGUUAUAUGGAGAAAGCAAUGGGAUUGUAUGGUCAGAUGAUAGAGAAGGGGAUAUUUCCUGAUGACAUUACCCAUCAUUCUUUGAUUUGGGGAUUUUUCCGGGUAGAUCAAGCUGAGCAAGGUAUGAAGAUACUGAAGGAGAUGGCCAAAAGAAACCACAAGGUUAGGAAUAGUGCUUACAGAUUUAUGAUCCAAGGAUUGUGCAAGAGCAAGAAGGUGGAUAUUGCAAUACAAGUUCUUGAAAUGAUGAUAUCAAGUCGAUGCAAGCCAGAUGAGAUGAUUUAUUCCACGCUAAUCAAAGGUAUAGGUGCUGCUGGUAUGACUGACGAGGCUGGUCAGUUAUGUCAAAAGUUGAAUGAGUGGAAGGUUCUUAGAGAAGAUAUCACGCUGGAUUAAACAGCAUAUAUGAAAAUCUUCCCUCUUGUACACUUCUGCAGGCAUUAGUCCACCAGUUUCUCAUUACUGUUAUACCGACCGUGCUUUCUGAUGAGGACUCAAAUGCUUUCAUAUAGAUCAAGAUCAAGUGUUUGAAGAGAUUGAAAGAUGAUUAUGCUUAGAGACAUGAGUUAUGAUGAAGCUAAUUGAAGAAAGAGCUCAAGAUAGACACAAGGAAUGGAAGCAAAUGUAUGAAGACUUAGUGUUUAGAAAGUUAUAGUUUAUAAGAAGUCUCAUGUAAGUACUUCACGAUUUCAAUAUGGAUGUUUGAAGCUCUUGGGAACAAUAGUUGACUUAGAGACCUAUUUUUGAAAAGCAUGGAAAAUAUUAAAAAAAAAAAAUCUCAUUUAAGUUUUCCAAGAUUAAAAGUUAAAGUCAAAGUUUUGAAAAGCAUAUAAGCUGCAAAGACAGGCGACUGAUGGAAUUUAAUUAUGCGACUGAUAUUUUUAUGCUGACAAUGUUAAACAAAUAGAGCCGAGAUAGGCAACUGACCCUGUAGGUCACAGUCGACUGACUCAACACAGUGUUUUCAAAAUACGCUGAACUUAAAAGGCACAGGUGACUGACCCUCAGGUUACAGUCGACUGAAGUUCUUAUUUUAACUUUUAAACAGUGAGGGAAAGUUUUCAUAACUGAUUUCUUGACUCCCAAACUUGGAGAAAACUUGGAAAAUACGGCAAGUAACUUGGGGACAACGAUAAUAUGCUUUAUGACUCUAUAAAUACUUGUUAUUUUCAUAAAUUAUACACAAAAAUCAAGUACAUACAAAUUACAAAUUCAAAGUUUUCCUGCUGAAAUAUUUUCUAAAGUAAAGCUGUGCUUUUGCUAAAACAACCCAUGGUUUUUUGAUCUUUUCUACUGAUAAUUUCAAUUCAAAUCAGAACCCUGGUGAUAUUCUAUUGAGCUUCACUUUUCUAUAUUGUUUAUUACUGAGGUAUAUUGUAUUUCAAUUGUACAAAUAUGCUCUAACUGAGAGUUUUACUUGUACGAAACAAAAGUUGCUCUUUGUUUCUUGUUUUCUUGACGAUUCAAGAUUGUUGGAUCAUUGCCUAGCGAGAGGGGAUUCUCAUUAGAGAGGCGAACUCCACCUUUGAGGGAGAGAGGUUGUAACUUCACCUGUUAAUGAAGUUGGGAAAGGAAAAUCAGCACAACGUGUUGCUUGGGGCAAGGACGUAGGCUUCUGGCCGAACCUUGUAAAAAAUCUGGUCUUCAGCUCUUCUUCCCUAAUCUCUUUACUUUAUUGCAAGUUUAUAAUUUGCGUGUAUGUUUAUUGAGAACUUGCUGCAUAUUGGAAGUUUUUGGAAGUUUCUGAAAUACUGAUUUUGUUUCUUGAAAUUAAGAAACUAUAUUGUUUAUCUUUGAUUGGUUUAAUAUACUAAAGAGUAAAAUUGAAUUCUGAUUUUU